GUUAUAAUAGUUUAUUAAAACCUUGGUUUUGUAAACCAAAAUUAGAUAUAAAUAUAUAUCUUUAUAACU
rnacentral:tRNA from 1 species